rnacentral:lncRNA from 1 species
UUCCCAUGAGACUCGAAAGGUUUUCUCGUUCGUGUGAAUUAAAAUCGUAAGACUUGUAAAAAGAAAUAAUUGUGGUGAAUGCAAAGACAGAAAAUAAACAUGCAAAGUAUUUGAUUCAAUUGACUAAAAGAGACUAUGGAUGAAUGGAGUUGUUGGGGGUUUAUAAUUUCAUCUAAUCCGCUCCCUCUUAUCUACUCCUAUUGUUUAUUGCGCCUUGUUAUCUAAUAGUUAUGCAAACUUUCUUGGCCUACCUUUAACCCGAUCCCUCGGCGAAAAUAGCCUAUUACUAAUUACUGGCUUAUUAUCCCUAGCCUCCCCUAGUAAUUAAUAAUGCAUUAAGAACAGAAGAAAAAACAAUUGAUCGUCCUACCCCCUAUCCCUUGGCCAGUAUUGCUUAAUCAAGGAAUUUCUCACCAGUUCAUGACAUUACUAUACGUCCCCG